rnacentral:tRNA from 1 species
GGACCUAGCUCAGUGGUAAAGCAUCAGUUUCGUAUGCAAAAGGUUUCAGGUUCAUUUUCUGACAUCUCCA